rnacentral:rRNA from 1 species
UACGUAGGGUGCAAGCGUUGUCCGGAAUUAUUGGGCGUAAAGAGCUCGCAGGCGGUUUGUCGCGUCUGCUGUGAAAUCUGGAGGCUCAACCUCCAGCCUGCAGUGGGUACGGGCAGACUAGAGUGCGGUAGGGGAGAUUGGAACUCCUGGUGUAGCGGUGGAAUGCGCAGAUAUCAGGAAGAACACCGAUGGCGAAGGCAGAUCUCUGGGCCGUAACUGACGCUGAGGAGCGAAAGCAUGGGGAGCGAACAGG